rnacentral:rRNA from 1 species
AUACAGAGGGUGCGAGCGUUAAUGGGAAUUACUGGGCGUAAAGCGCGCGUAGGCGGCUGAUUAAGUCAGAUGUGAAAUCCCAGGGCUCAACCUUGGAACUGCAUCUGAUACUGGUCAGCUAGAGUUUAGGAGAGGGAAGUAGAAUUUCAGGUGUAGCGGUGAAAUGCAUAGAUAUCUGAAGGAAUACCAGUGGCGAAGGCGGCUUCCUGGCCUAAAACUGACGCUGAGGUGCGAAAGCGUGGGUAGCAAACGGGAUUAGAAACCCUAGUAGUCC